GUGGAAUUAGUGUAGGUGGUUAUCACAGUUCGUUGUGGAGUAGCGUGGUCUUUGACCGUCUCGAAGCAGCGCCCGAUCAGACCUGGGUUCGACUCCCGGAUUCCACA